UAAGUCCUACAGAUGUCCUUUGGAUGGACUAAUCAAUGUGGUUUUCAAUAGAGACAUUUACACUCAGAGGCAGUUUCUGAGUUUAUAUUAGACUAUAAGGCAGUUUCAACUCCUAGGACACUUUUUCUUAAUCUAUUUCAUUCACUACUAACUAAAUUGUAACUAGAGCAUAAUCUGUUGGACCCACUGCUUUUUCAUUUUUUUUUCUUCUUUUCUCUUUCUCAAUCGUGUUAUCUUUUUCAGAUCUUGUUUCUUUUUCAGUUGACUAAUUU
rnacentral:lncRNA from 1 species